AUGGUGGCUCCUUGCUGAUACAGGCUUUUAUAUUUGAAUGCUCGCUACUCUCGCACAUAUAUAGAUUUUUCAUUAUAGAUGCAAAUUUGGAGCCGCUUAAAUUUGCUUGCCUGUCGUUUUACUUAGCAAUCUGCAAGAAAAAGCAAGACACCAUAGAUUGCUUGGCAAUAAAGAUCGACCUAAAUUAGCAAUUUGUGUGUAGCCUUAGAAAUCUAUAUAUUUAUUAAAUUCUAAGUUACUUGUGCUCGCGUCCUUAAUGAGAUGGUUGCUUUGCCUUAUGAUCAAAUUUUCAAUUGCUAAUGGUGACUACAUUAGACUGUUUAAGCAACUAAGCAACUCAAGUUCCAUGGUGACUACAAGUCAUGAGUGGCCGCUGCACUAUUCUUGUAUGUUCUUCUAUUUUCAAUGGAAGCAUUCAAUCAUUUUUUUUUCUCUCGCAGAAGUUUAUAUACCUAGAAGGGGAGCCUUGGCGCAGUGGUAAAGCUGCUGCCUUGUGACCAUGAGGUCAUGGGUUCAAGUCCUGGAAACAGCCUCUUACAGAAAUGUAGGGAAAGGCUGCGUACUAUAGACCCAAAGUGGUCGGACCCUUCCCUGGACCCUGCGCAAGCGGGAGCUACAUGCACCAGUAUUUGACGGUCUCUAUGUGGAGGGUUUCAGAACUUUCUCUAGGCGCAGACCUGAAUACUAGCAGUACACGCUUGCAACUAGCAAAAAAUGCAAGAUGCAGGGUCGCGUUUUCUUUUUCCAAUGCAUGGUAUCUGUUCAGAUGGAUGACCGCUAAUUUAUGUGGGAUAGGAAUGUCUUCAUAUUUGUGGUGGGUACAAGUAAUAUUAAAUUGAAAUUUAAGGCCCUCUUUUCAUUACAACCAGUGGCAAAAUUUAGGUUUUGGUGAGAAGAAAGGUGAACCUAAUGGCUACAGCACUAUCAAGAAGAAUGUUUCAAUCGCUGGAGAAAUUGAGGAACAAAUGAUGGCUGGUGUGGCGAACAUCGAGGGAUUUUUUGGAUCAUGCUUUGAUUUAACCAAUACUCCGUCCGUCCCAAAUUAGUUGAGUUAGAUUUGUCUAACACUAAAACUGUCUAGAUACAUUCGUAUCUAUAUAAAUCUGAGUCAAGUAAUUCAGAAUAGAGGGAGUAUAUGUUUGGCGUUACUAGAUCAAGACCUGAGUGAGGUUCUAGCUAAAAUGAAUAUGUUAAAUGCAAAAAAGAGAUUUCAGAAUCAUAAUGAAUUUUGGAGCGCCUGAGAAGGUACAAGUGUUAACUACAUGCUGGGCUAUACGAGCGACCAUAGAUAAACUGCUUCACUCUUCUGCUU